rnacentral:rRNA from 1 species
UUGUUGGUGAGGUAAAAGCUUACCAAGGCUUCGAUCAGUAGCUGGUCUGAGAGGACGGCCAGCCACACUGGGACUGAGACACGGCCCAGACUCCUACGGGAGGCAGCAGUGGGGAAUUUUGGACAAUGGGGGCAACCCUGAUCCAGCCAUGCCGCGUGAGUGAAGAAGGCRUUCGGGUUGUAAAGCUCUUUCAGCCGGAACGAAACGGUUACGGUUAAUACCCGUGACUACUGACGGUACCGGAAGAAGAAGCACCGGCUAACUACGUGCCAGCAGCCGCGGUAAUACGUAGGGUGCAAGCGUUAAUCGGAAUUACUGGGCGUAAAGCGUGCGCAGGUGGUUUUGUAAGUCAGAUGUGAAAUCCCCGGGCUUAACCUGGGAACUGCGUUUGAAACUACAAGGCUAGAGUGUGGCAGAGGGGGGUGGAAUUCCGCGUGUAGCAGUGAAAUGCGUAGAUAUGUGGAGGAACACCGAUGGCGAAGGCAGCCCCCUGGGUCAACACUGACGCUCAGGCACGAAAGCAUGGGGAGCAAACAGGAUUAGAUACCCUGGUAGUCCAUGCCCUAAACGAUGUCAACUAGUUGUCGGGCCUUAACGGGCUUGGUAACGUAGCUAACGCGUGAAGUUGACCGCCUGGGGAGUACGAUCGCAAGAUUAAAACUCAAAGGAAUUGACGGGGACCCGCACAAGCGGUGGAUUAUGUGGAUUAAUUCGAUGCAACGCGAAGAACCUUACCUACCCUUGACAUGUAUCGAAGCCCGCAGAGAAGCGGGUGUGCCCGAAAGGGAACGAUAACACAGGUGCUGCAUGGCUGUCGUCGGCUCGUGUCGUGAGAUGUUGGGUUAAGUCCCGCAACGAGCGCAACCCUUGUCAUUAAUUGCCAUCAUUUAGUUGGGCACUUUAAUGAGACUGCCGG